rnacentral:lncRNA from 10 species
GAUCUUAUAAGAGACUUCAUGUAGCCUUUGGCUCUCUUGCUCUUCUGCCUAGUGCUAUAUAAGGAUAGAGCUUUUCUCUCCUUCAGAGGACAUAGAAAGAUGCAAUCUUGGAAACAGAAAAUGCCCCUCACCACAUAACUGAGCCUACCAGCACCUUGAUUUUGGAUCUCCCAGCCUCCAAAAUGAGACACGGUCUCGUCCUGUUGUCCAGGCUAAAGUGCAAUGUGGGAUCAUGGCUCACUGCAGAGCCAACCUCCUGGGAUCAAGAAAUCCUCCCACCUCAGCCUGCUGAGUAGCUGAAGCUGGAACCACAGAGUUGGAGAAUCACUGUGAAGCAGAAGCUGCCUUUCCUGAGAAAAAUUUCGUAUUCUAUGUUUACAUAUGUGUACCUCUGGGAUAAAGGUAUGUGACAAGUCGUUCUACGAUUCAAGCAGCUUAAAAAAUCAUACAUUCCGGCUGAGCGUGGUGGCUCACACCUGUUAUCCCAGCACUUUGGGAAGCCGAGGCGGGCAGAUCUCGAGGUCAGGAGAUCUAGACCAUCCUG